rnacentral:rRNA from 1 species
AUUGAACGCUGGCGGCAGGCCUAACACAUGCAAGUCGAGCGGAUGAAGGGAGCUUGCUCCUGGAUUUAGCGGCGGACGGGUGAGUAAUGCCUAGGAAUCUGCCUGGUAGUGGGGGAUAACGUCCGGAAACGGGCGCUAAUACCGCAUACGUCCUGAGGGAGAAAGUGGGGGAUCUUCGGACCUCACGCUAUCAGAUGAGCCUAGGUCGGAUUAGCUAGUUGGUGGGGUAAAGGCCUACCAAGGCGACGAUCCGUAACUGGUCUGAGAGGAUGAUCAGUCACACUGGAACUGAGACACGGUCCAGACUCCUACGGGAGGCAGCAGUGGGGAAUAUUGGACAAUGGGCGAAAGCCUGAUCCAGCCAUGCCGCGUGUGUGAAGAAGGUCUUCGGAUUGUAAAGCACUUUAAGUUGGGAGGAAGGGCAGUAAGUUAAUACCUUGCUGUUUUGAUGUUACCAACAGAAUAAGCACCGGCUAACUUCGUG